rnacentral:rRNA from 1 species
AACGUAGGGGGCUAGCGUUGCCCGGAUUCACUGGGCGUAAAGCGUGCGCAGGCGGUUGUGCAAGACAGAUGUGAAAUCCCCGGGCUCAACCUGGGAAUUGCAUUUGUGACUGCACGGCUAGAGUGUGUCAGAGGGGGGUAGAAUUCCACGUGUAGCAGUGAAAUGCGUAGAGAUGUGGAGGAAUACCGAUGGCGAAGGCAGCCCCCUGGGAUAACACUGACGCUCAUGCACGAAAGCGUGGGGAGCAAACAGG